GCCAGUUUGGCUCAGUGGAUAGAGCGUUGGUCUGCGGACUGAAGGGUCCCGGGUUUGAUUCCCGGUCAGGGCA
rnacentral:tRNA from 1 species